CCUUGGGUAGCUCAGCCUGGUAGAGCGCACGGCCUUGAAAACCGUGAGGUCGGGGGUUCAAAUCCUUCCCCUCGGACCA
rnacentral:tRNA from 1 species